rnacentral:rRNA from 1 species
UACGAAGGGGGGCUAGCGUUGCUCGGAAUUACUGGGCGUAAAGCGCACGUAGGCGGGUCUUUAAGUCAGGGGUGAAAUCCUGGAGCUCAACUCCAGAACUGCCUUUGAUACUGGGAAUCUUGAGUUCGGGAGAGGUGAGUGGAAUUGCGAGUGUAGAGGUGAAAUUCGUAGAUAUUUCGCAAGAACACCCAGUGGCGAAGGCGGCUCACUGGCCCGAUACUGACGCUGAGGUGCGAAAGCGUGGGGAGCAAACAGGG